rnacentral:lncRNA from 1 species
UCUCCCGUGGCACCCAGGGCAGCCCUGUUUCCUCACUAGGCCCGGUGGCUUUGGUGUUUCUUCCUGUGUCUGUGGAAGGUUAAGGUGUUACGCAAUCAACUGGCCCUUUUCCACAGUGCUGUUGCUGCCUACUUUGCUGGGAAUCAGAAGCAGCUUGAACAGACUCUCAAGCAGUUCCAUGUCAAAUUGAAAACCCCAGGAGUGGAUGCCCCGUCUUGGCUUGAAGAACAGUAAACUCACCAGGAAAGAAGGACAGUGUAUUGUUAAACAACUAAUAAACUAGUAAGAGUGAAGUAAUGUGGGAGGUGUGAGGUGACCACCAUCGUAGUGGCUCCUGCACAGAUAGCUUUUAAUUUCCCUUUUCAUACCGUAACAAUUGAGCUGUUAAAUUUGAUGGGAAGGUAGGUGAUUUUUAUGUAAACAUAAUUUCUAUAAUUCUAAACAUAAUAAUCUUCCUUUUUGAGAAAUCCUUUUUGUACUGUGAGGGUUGAUGGCUAUUUCUGUAGUUUGAAAUAUUUAAUAUAGAUUUGCACUGACAAGAUAAAAGUUCAAGGCUUUUUGGGUCCCAGAAAUGAGGGCCAGCUAUAGUUUUCCAAGGGAGGUUUACAUGAUUUGUAUCAGUGUCAGAUAUUUUAUAUAUGAAUAUAUUCAACAUCUUUAAGAAGUUCAUGUUUGUGUAUUAUCUUUUAAAAAAAGAAGCUAUUUUGCAGAGUAAGUUUUAUGGUGUCCUGCAGUCUCACCCCAGGGACAGCUUGAAUAAAUGAUUGAUUGGCCCAUAGCUUGUUGCAGACACACUCUAAAAUUUAAUUUGUAACACUGUAAUUUUGUUUAGAUAUUUUUAAAGGCCCGGGAGUCACACUGUCAUAAUUUUUACAACGUAUUUAAGCUCAUGAAUUUGACAGUUGUGUUUGCAAUUUUGAUUUAUAAUGAAAUCUGCUUAAGAGGGGUAGGUUUGUUUGUUUGGGGUUUUUUUUAUUUACAUGUGGACAGAAUGGAAAUUCUUAGCAGUUUCUAGAGUAGAAAUUUGUACAUUAAACAGCUAGUUUGGGAGUAAAUUCCAUUUUAAUAGAAGAGAAUUUUCAGACCAUGUUCAUUGGCUUCCAUGCGUGGCUGUACCACUUAAGCCUUAAAUCACAGACAUGUGCCUUCGCAGAUGCAGUAAUUCUUGCCCAACCAUUGUACAUACAUGAAGAAACUCCUACAGAUGACGCAAUUCCUCUGUAACGGAGGGAUUUUUUUUUUGUCCUCAUAAAACCACACCUGAGGAGGAUGGCGAAACCAACUUUUGAAUUUUUUGUUUGGUUUCUCUUGAUUCCUCUUGAAGAAGGGGAUGAUGGGAGAAUGUUUUCCACUUGGUUCAUGAAAAGAUUGUAUAAGGUGUGUGGCGGUCAUAGGAAGGGAGGAUCCGGUGCUGGGUUACUUGUGCAGCACUUGGUCUUAUGUAUGUGGUUGGCGUGUCUACUGUGGUUCCUCAGUGAUGUAAUCUUGGUUAAAUGUAAAGUUCCUUGAUUUUGUCAUACGUAUAAAUGAGUGUUCUCAGAGACACCACUUCACCUGUUAUUUCUAUUGUGUCGAAAUGAAGUACUUAAAAUUACUGUCAUACGUGACCUUUGUGGACUGUAUGAUGUGUUACAUUUUUAGCUGGUCUUUUUUAUUAAUACGCCUGUUUUGAGUGCUUAAUAUAAUGUGAUGUGAUUGUAAGUCGUGAGCCUGUUUUAAAUCAUUCCCUCCUGUGUACUUGUACUCUGAGAACUCUAUUUUAUUCUUCCUGCAAUGGUUAGUUACACUCCGAGUGUGCCUCUGUGUGAAUCCUGUCUUCUUAUUAAAGUGGCUGCUGCAGUAUCCA